UACGAGGGGGGCAAGCGUUGUUCGGAAUUAUUGGGCGUAAAGGGUGCGUAGGCGGCGUGGCAAGUCUGAUGUGAAAUCCCGGGGCUCAACCCCGGAACUGCAUUGGAUACUGCCAUGCUAGAGUACUGGAGAGGAGAUUGGAAUUUACGGUGUAGCAGUGAAAUGCGUAGAUAUCGUAAGGAAGACCAGUGGCGAAGGCGAAUCUCUGGACAGUUACUGACGCUGAGGCACGAAGGCCAGGGGAGCAAACGGG
rnacentral:rRNA from 1 species